GACGAACGCUGGCGGCGUGCUUAACACAUGCAAGUCGAACGGAAAGGCCCUACUUUUGUGGGCUGCUCGAUUGGCUAAGGGGUGCGUAAGAGGUAAGUAACCGUCCCUUGACUUUCGGGUAGCUUCAGGAAACUGGGGCUAAUACCAGCUAGUAGCUCCUGCUGCAUGUUGUGGGUUGGAAAGUUUCGGCGGGUGGGUAUGGACUCGCGGCUUAUGAGCUUGUUGGUGGGGUAGUUGCUUGCCAAGGUAUUGACGGGUAGCCGGCCUGAGAGGGUGACCGGCCACAUAGGGACUGAGAGAGGGGCCAGACUGAUACGGGAGGCAGCAGUGGGGAAUAUUGCACGAUGGGCCGAAGGCUGAUGCAGCAACGUCGGGUGCGGGAUGACGGCUUUAGGGUUGUAAACCGCUUUAGACUGUGACGAAGAGUGAGUGACGGUAAUGGGUAAAGAAGCACCGGCUAACUACGUG
rnacentral:rRNA from 1 species